UACGGGGUGCAGCAGGCGCGAAACCUUUACAAUGCACGAAAGUGUGAUAAGGGGACUCAAAGUGCUUAUGCCUUGAGCAUAGGCUUUUGCCAAAGGUAAAUUCUUUGGCGAAUAAGUGGUGGGCAAGACUGGUGCCAGCCGCCGCGGUAACACCAGCGCCACAAGUGGCAAUCAUGUUUAUUGGGCCUAAAGCGUUCGUAGCCGGUUUAAUAAAUUCCCUGUGAAAUUGUAUUGCUCAACUUUACAACGUGCAGAGAAGACUGUUAGACUAGAGACCGGGAGGAGCUUGGAGUAUUCUUUGGGGAGCGGUAAAAUGUUAUAAUCCUUUGAAGACUACCUGUGGCGAAGGCGCCAAGCUAGAACGGUUCUGACGGUGAGGGACGAAAGCUAGGGGAGCGAUCCGGAUUAGAUACCCGUGUAGUCCUAGCCGUAAACGCUGCGAGUUAGGUGUUGCGUAUACUUUGAGUAUAUGCAGUAUCGAAGAGAAGUCGUUAAGCU
rnacentral:rRNA from 1 species